GACCCCGUAACUUAGGGAUAAGGGGUGCCACCAUCAGGUGGCCGCAGAGAAUAGGCCCAAGCGACUGUUUACCAAAAACAUAGGUUGCUGCUAAGUCGCAAGACGAUGUAUAGGAGCUGACGCCUGCACGGUGCUGGAAGGUUAAGGGGAUCUGUUAGAGUAAUCGAAGCAGUGAACUUAAGCCCCAGUAAACGGCGGCCGUAACUAUAACGGU
rnacentral:rRNA from 1 species